ACACAUGCAAGUCGAGCGAGAAGGUUAAGAUGGAUUCUUCGGAUGACAGAUUAACUGGAAAGCGGCGGACGGGUGAGUAACGCGUGGGUAACCUACCCCAUACACAGGGAUAGCCAUUGGAAACGAUGAUUAAUACCUGAUAACACAUAAUGGUCGCAUGACUAUGAUGUCAAAGAUUUAUCGGUAUGGGAUGGACCCGCGUCUGAUUAGCUAGUUGGUGAGGUAAAAGCUUACCAAGGCGACGAUCAGUAGCCGACCUGAGAGGGUGAUCGGCCACACUGGAACUGAGACACGGUCCAGACUCCUACGGGAGGCAGCAGUGGGGAAUAUUGCACAAUGGGCGCAAGCCUGAUGCAGCAACGCCGCGUGAGCGAAGAAGGUCUUCGGAUCGUAAAGCUCUUUUCU
rnacentral:rRNA from 1 species